GCGUCUAUUUAUAGUGUAGGGGGCGGGCGCUUCGGAUUCUAGAGAGCAUUUGAUUGUUCAGAAGAUUUGAUGAGAAGAUGUAGUACGAAGUGACGUCAAAAAAUCUUUGAGCUGUUUUGGCAGAAGUGACGAACUGCAAGCUUUGAUUGCUUAUAUCUUCUAAAUGCGAAUUUUUUUACUAUUUUGGAGCACACUGCCUUAUAGAUAACCUUAAGACUAACAUAUUGAUACUAACACCCAAAAAACUUUAAUUUAAAUUUCAUGGGGACUUUUAAGUCUAAAAAAUAAUUCCUAGGCUUUACAAAUACCAAUAGUAACAGGUCACACCCAAAUAUCUUGCAAGUUAUUUUAUCAAUGGACCAGUAAGUUCAGCAUUCUAGGUUCGUCCGAGAAGAGAGAUGUGCGACAGCAGUGAACCACUCAGAUACAGGGGUUGAGACUUAUGGCAAUAUCACUCGUCAAGGAAUGUUCACAACCUCCAACCAAUGGGCGGCUCGCCAGUCCAAACUCCACCGUUAUGUGCACAGGAGAGAGUUGAGACAGUUCACAAUCCAGGAAAAGGUUCACACUUCACUUGAUUCGUAUCCAGAACAGGCAACAUGCAGUAGAUGAACAUCAAACAGGACAUCACAAGGAAACAAACAAGGAGAGGAAAAAAAAAACCUAGCCUUGAAAACACAAGGCAAAAAAAAAAAAAAAAAAUAUAUAUAAUCAAUCAAUUAGCACUUUCCAAUGUAUAUACUGAUUCAACACAAAUUUCAAAUAAACAAUAUACAUUCAUAUACUUCUGUGUACGGAAUUUCUUUGUAUGAUUUUUCUUUCCUUAUUUGGCAUUCCCUUUUUAACAAUAUAAGCAUUGCACUUAAAUUUUAUGCAGUCACUUGCAUAAUUAUCUUAUUUGACACACAAAGCAUAUUAAUUAUUGGUAUUUCACAGGAAUUACCAUUACUUUUCUCUCUAUUUCUCUCUUAGGUCUGUGUCCAUCAUU